rnacentral:snoRNA from 1 species
UGGACCAUUGGUAACGACUGUGAUUCUGAGUUAAGGGUGAUGAAUAAUAUGUGUCUGGAUAUCUGAGGCCCAA